rnacentral:rRNA from 2 species
UACGAAGGUCCCAAGCGUUAUCCGGAUUUAUUGGGUUUAAAGGGUGCGUAGGCGGGUUAUUAAGUCAGUGGUGAAAGCUCCCAGCUCAACUGGGAAACUGCCAUUGAUACUGAUAGUCUUGAGUAUGAUUGAAGUGGGCGGAAUGUGUCAUGUAGCGGUGAAAUGCUUAGAUAUGACACAGAACACCGAUUGCGAAGGCAGCUCACUAAGCCAUAACUGACGCUGAUGCACGAAAGCGUGGGGAGCAAACAGG